UACGGGGGUAGCAAACGUUGUUCGGAAUCACUGGGCGUAAAGGGCGCGUAGGCGGCCCUGUAAGUGGUGUGUGAAAUCCGAUGGCUCAACCAUCGAACUGCGCCCCAUACUGCAGGGCUUGAGUGCAGCAGAGGAAAGUGGAAUUCCCGGGGUAGCGGUGAAAUGCGUAGAUAUCGGGAGGAACACCGUUGGCGAAGGCGACUUUCGGGGCUGUUACUGACGCUGAGGCGCGAAAGCCAGGGGAGCAAACAGG
rnacentral:rRNA from 1 species